AUGUCUGUAUGCCCAGGACCUGCUUCAGAUGCAGUGUUUCCCAGCCUUCACUUCAAAGCAGCAUUGUGGAAUCAAGCAGUGGGAAUAUUUGAGAAAGCUGUCUGUCAUUCUCCAGGGGUUCCGACUUGCAAGGGCUCAACAAUCUACUCAUUUGACUUAUUACCAGGAUGUAUGAUUUUGAGGUUUGUGUCAAAGGAACAGCCUUGUUAUGGUUGUUCUAAUUAAAAGAAAAUUAUAUAAUAUAUAUUUAUGCAUAUAUUUUUAAAACAGGCUUAGCUUCUAAUAACUAAACAAAGGAAGAGAAGGGUAGUCUAAUGACUGAUUAAAUCAUUUUCGGGGGAUCCCUGGGUGGCGCAGCGGUUUGGCGCCUGCCUUCAGCCCAGGGCGCGAUCCUGGAGUCCCAGGAUCGAGUCCCACGUCGGGCUCCCGGGGCAUGGAGCCUGCUUCUCCCUCUGCCUGUGUCUCUGCCUCUCUCUCUCUCUCUGUGUGACUAUCAUAAAUAAAUUAAAAAAAAUUAAAAAAAAAAUAAAUCA
rnacentral:lncRNA from 12 species